GAUUCUCACUUCCAUGGAGUUUCCAGCUACCUCCUUGGAGCUGAAUAAUACAGUAGCCAGCCCAACAGAGACUGCCCAUGGCUAGGCAGAGGAGCUCCAUCCCCACAGCCUGUGUGGUCUCCUCCUUUGCAGAUCCUUGCAAUUGGAUCCAUCCUGGACCCUGAUAAGAUUUGUCUUCUUGAAUCUUUACCAUUGUCAUGCUAUUUCCCGCUCUCCUGCAGUGUCUCCAGGGAUCACCUCCCACAUGAAUCACUGGCACUGGAAUUAUGGAGUUAAUUUCUGGAAGGAACUAAAAACCGCCUGGCCCAAAUAAACCCAUUUGAUAGUGCACUUUUUUAGAUCUCUCUUAACAAAAGAGUCAAUGUGAUUCACAAGGAAAAAAAUGCAACAUAACCCUGAAUUUGGGAGCAAAGAGGGGGGCAAAGAACAAGAAUAAUGAAGAUCUAAAGCUCCGACCUAGUAACUUGAAGCACAGAUGAAAAAUGGUAUCAGCCUUGGCCACCUCUGAGACUGGCAGGUCAAAGGCUAAGCAAUCUUUGUCAAUUACAGGGCAUUACUCUGCAGGCCAACUGGCAAUUACAAUGGCAUCUUUCUUCUCAUCACUGACAGCAAAAGGAGGAAAUAUUCUGAGUCCAGCCACACAUAAAGAGGGAAACCGGAGCGCAUUCCAGAGGGGUCCCCUACCAUGCCCAGGAAUGUCAAAACAACAGAAUGGCACAUGUGGCUGAAAUUAUGUUUGAAAUCAACCAAACACAGAGGAUGAAAUCCGUACAGUAAGAAGAAGGCUGCAUUUGCAAGAUCUAAUCUCUACUCGACCACAGUGUGACUUUCUGUAAGCCAUACUCCCAUCAAUCAACCAGAGGUAAGAGAACUGGUGUCGUCACUGCAGUCUUUAGAGAGUGCUGCAUAUCUAUGACAGACAGCCCUGACCGGAGACAGGAGACAGGAAGGGCUUCACUGGCCAUCCUCGAGAAGAAGGAGAACAUGGGCCCCAGAGCUGAGCAUUCCUUUCCAUGUCCUGCUGUGGCCUAAUGUGAUCUCUCCAGAUGGCAUCCAGCAACCCCAAUCUAUUUCUGGAAACUACACAUGCUGGUCUGGCACAAUGAUUUUCCAAUCUGCUGGUCAGUUUUCAACCGGAUCUCAUCAAGAACUUUGCCAUUUAAAAGCAACCAAAUCCCUAACUUCCCCACACCCCCUGGCUGUGGAUGGAGGUGCCUGGACAAAGUACCAUGGGAGUCCCCAGCCAGCCUCUGUGGGACAUAAUGACAGCACAUCCUUCCCAAGGGCUCCAGGAAGGGGGUUAUUUUGAUGACCAUGCAGCUUCUGUUUCUCUCUUCUUUCACACACUCUGCUCAAAAGCUCUGCCUUCUGCAGAGCUGCAAAUAAUAAAAGA